UACGAAGGGGGCUAGCGUUGCUCGGAAUCACUGGGCGUAAAGGGUGCGUAGGCGGGUCUUUAAGUCAGGGGUGAAAUCCUGGAGCUCAACUCCAGAACUGCCUUUGAUACUGAAGAUCUUUGAGUCCGGGAGAGGUGAGUGGAACUGCGAGUGUAGAGGUGAAAUUCGUAGAUAUUCGCAAGAACACCAGUGGCGAAGGCGGCUCACUGGCCCGGUACUGACGCUGAGGCACGAAAGCGUGGGGAUCAAACAGG
rnacentral:rRNA from 1 species